UUUAGAUAACGAAGUAUUAUGAUUUAUGACUUCUACAGAUUAAAGUUUCUCAUUAUAUUUAUGAUUUGUUCUUGUAGCUGACAGAUGCCAGGAGCUAUACAAAUCACUUCAGGAAAGAAAAAUGAUUACUAAAGCAGACGAGUGGUAGUGGUGGAAAAAGAAAAAGAGAAUGACCACUGUAUCAAUCAAUGACAUUUCUUGACCAAUUUUUAAUUGAUAAAUAUACCUGGUCUAAUUUGAGUUCCCAAAGCAUGAAUUCAUCAUGCUCCACGGAUUUCGAGGAGUUAGAUAUGCAAGCUUCAGUGGAUUUUGAAGAUUUCAUACAAGAAGAAACAGCUUCUGAGUCUAGCUCUUUGCUUAAAAAUUCUUCUGGAAAAAAAAUAUGAUGAACAAAGCCAUUGCUUUUGUCCUUGAAACACAGGAGCACAACAACAACGAUCACUUAAUGCUGUUUAUAUCCAAAAUGGUGAAGUCUUUUCCUCCAGAAAAGCAAAGGAAGGCUUGUAGAGGUCUUGCGAAUUUUAUUUUUGAUUUGAUGGAUGACGAAUAAAUCCUAAAUACAUCCUUUAUUAUUGUGUUAUUAGCCAAGUGUAUCAAUAAGUUUAAUUUGUCUAACAAGAAAUUAAACAUUUCAUUUAAGACUUGUACACUACUCACAUUUCUUGGGCAAAACUAAUUCCUUAAAUUUCUAAUGAACUGUAAUCUUAAAUUCAGUUAAUAGAAAGUUUAUUUAAGAAAAAAUAAGAUUAUUUAUGUAUAUUCACAUUAUAUUAAUUAUAUAAAUCUUAUCAGGUCUUAUAUACAUGCACUUGAGUUCACUUUUGUAAUUUAGACAAUUAGUGUGACGUGAAAUGUACAUAUUAUUAAGGGUGACUGCUGCCUUCUUAUCUGCACAGAUUAAUUAUAUCAUAUAGCUAUACUUUUUUGAUUUCACCAGUUAUUUUCUUCCUCAUAUAUGUCAUUCUAAAGUAAAUUUUUAGUAUACACUCUUUGAUGUUGAAAAAUAUUUUAAUUUUUACACAUAUACAGACAAAUU